rnacentral:rRNA from 1 species
AGUCGAACGGAAAGGCCCUGCUUUUGUGGGGUGCUCGAGUGGCGAACGGGUGAGUAACACGUGAGUAACCUGCCCUUGACUUUGGGAUAACUUCAGGAAACUGGGGCUAAUACCGGAUAGGAGCUCCUGCUGCAUGGUGGGGGUUGGAAAGUUUCGGCGGUUGGGGAUGGACUCGCGGCUUAUCAGCUUGUUGGUGGGGUAGUGGCUUACCAAGGCUUUGACGGGUAGCCGGCCUGAGAGGGUGACCGGCCACAUUGGGACUGAGAUACGGCCCAGACUCCUACGGGAGGCAGCAGUGGGGAAUAUUGCACAAUGGGCGGAAGCCUGAUGCAGCAACGCCGCGUGCGGGAUGACGGCCUUCGGGUUGUAAACCGCUUUCGCCUGUGACGAAGCGUGAGUGACGGUAAUGGGUAAAGAAGCACCGGCUAACUACGUGCCAGCAGCCGCGGUGAUACGUAGGGUGCGAGCGUUGUCCGGAUUUAUUGGGCGUAAAGGGCUCGUAGGUGGUUGAUCGCGUCGGAAGUGUAAUCUUGGGGCUUAACCCUGAGCGUGCUUUCGAUACGGGUUGACUUGAGGAAGGUAGGGGAGAAUGGAAUUCCUGGUGGAGCGGUGGAAUG